rnacentral:tRNA from 1 species
CCUUUCUAAGGAUGAUCAAAAAUUGGGAAAUCCUCUCUUUUUGAUCUCAUUUAGACACGGGUUUAAACUUAUUCGUUUAAACCGUGCAUAUGACACUAACGCUCAACUCUAUACCCUCUCUCAAAAGAGAACCUCUUAACAAAGAGGCCCUAAUCUCUUGAGGCCCCUACCUCCGAUGAGAUGGUGUUCAUGAGGGCUUAGUGAUCAUGUGUAAAAAUAACAGGCAGGCUUGCCGCCUUCGUUUCUCUUUCUUCAGAUGAUGAUCCCAAGCCUUUUGGCGAUCUCUUAAAAAUAAACCCUCAUUCUUUAAAAAAGAGGGCUUUUUAAGAAAACACCCUUUAAGAAAAAGUUUUUUAUAAAAUUAAAGAAAAACUUUCCUGUAAGAGUGUAUUUUUUAUCUAAGAGUUUGCUCUUUUAUUUGAGAGUUUGCUUUUUUAAGAGUUUUCCGGGGAAGGUUUUCCGGUUUAUCCCGGAGGGCUUGUAGCUCAGUUGGUUAGAGCGCGCGCUUGAUAAGCGUGAGGUCGGAGGUUCAAGUCCUCCCAGGCCCACCAAUUUAGAAUUACCAAUUGGAAUUGCUUAACCCACUGUUGAGAAACUCCCUCCUUUAUGAGAGAAAUCUCUAAAAACAAGAGAAAGCUCUUGAGAGCCUCAAAUGAUAGAUUUCAAAUUCUCAAUAAGAUUUAAACCCAUCAGAUCUAAAUCAAUAAGGUUUAAAAGUGUUGGUAAAAUGUUCAUAAUAUAUUUUAUAAAAAUAUUGAGAAUUAUGGAGAUAUUAAGAGAUUUUUCGGACACUAUUGAUAAAUCUUGGUAAGAAAAUUGAUAAAAAUCGGUUUAGGGGUUAGCGCUUUCGUUUAGGGGCCGUAGCUCAGCUGGGAGAGCACCUGCUUUGCAAGCAGGGGGUCGUCGGUUCGAUCCCGUCCGGCUCCACCACUUUAGGUCAUCAUCAUUGUUAUGAGAACCGUCUUUAGUGAUGAGGCUUUAUAACCUUUCGCUCGUUCUAUUGAAAUUGUGAAGAGAAGAUAUAUUCAGACAUUGUUCCUUUGGGGAUGUUUGUUUUGAAAGAAGCAAGCUUUUUGUGAAGAAAAAUGCUUGUGGUCAGGAAAAACGCUUCGUUGAAGAAGAAACAUCAAAAGGGUCUCUCAAAGAAACCCAAGAAAGAAACCAAGAAACAUUGUGUCGCAAGGGAAUGCUCAAAGCCCUUGCUUAUGAUUGGAAGCUUAACCGCGCCAUUGAAUAUAUCUCGAGAAGCUGGUCUUUUCUGCUGAUAUUUUGUUUGUUUUGCCCUUUUUGUUUUGCACAAGGCAAAAAAAGAGACAAACGCUGAAUGAAUAUUGGCAAUGAGAACG